rnacentral:rRNA from 1 species
CAGCCGCCGCGGGAAUACGUAGGGUGCAAGCGUUAAUCGGAAUUACUGGGCGUAAAGCGUGCGCAGGCGGUCCGCUAAGACAGAUGUGAAAUCCCCGGGCUUAACCUGGGAACUGCAUUUGUGACUGGCGGGCUAGAGUAUGGCAGAGGGGGGUAGAAUUCCACGUGUAGCAGUGAAAUGCGUAGAGAUGUGGAGGAAUACCGAUGGCGAAGGCAGCCCCCUGGGCCAAUACUGACGCUCAUGCACGAAAGCGUGGGGAGCAAACAGGAUUAGAUACCCCUGUAGUCCCUGUCUCUUAUAC